CAGCCGCCGCGGUAAUACCGGCGGCCCGAGUGGCGGUCACUAUUAUUGGGCUUAAAGCGUCCGUAGCCGGGUUGGGAAGUCCUCCGGGAAAUCUGGCCGCUUAACGGUCAGAAUGCCGGAGGAUACUCCCAGCCUAGGGAGCGGGAGAGGCCGAGGGGAUUCCCGGAGUAGGGGUGGAAUCCUAUAAUCCCGGGAGGACCACCUGGGGCGAAGGCGCUCGGCUGGAACGCGUCCGACGGUGAGGGACGAAGGCCAGGGGAGCAAACCGGAUUAGAUACCCGGGUAGUCCUGGCUGUAAACGAUGCGGGCUAGCUGUUGGGUGGGCUUAGAGCCCACCCAGUGGCGCAGGGAAGCCGUUAAGCCCGCCGCCUGGGGAGUACGGCCGCAAGGCUGAAACUUAAAGGAAUUGGCGGG
rnacentral:rRNA from 1 species